rnacentral:rRNA from 1 species
AUGAACGCUAGCUACAGGCUUAACACAUGCAAGUCGAGGGGCAGCAUUUUAGUUUGCUUGCAAACUGAAGAUGGCGACCGGCGCACGGGUGAGUAACACGUAUCCAACCUGCCGAUAACUCCGGGAUAGCCUUUCGAAAGAAAGAUUAAUACCGGAUAGUAUACGAAUAUCGCAUGAUAUUUUUAUUAAAGAAUUUCGGUUAUCGAUGGGGAUGCGUUCCAUUAGUUUGUUGGCGGGGUAACGGCCCACCAAGACUACGAUGGAUAGGGGUUCUGAGAGGAAGGUCCCCCACAUUGGAACUGAGACACGGUCCAAACUCCUACGGGAGGCAGCAGUGAGGAAUAUUGGUCAAUGGGCGCGAGCCUGAACCAGCCAAGUAGCGUGAAGGAUGAAGGCUCUAUGGGUCGUAAACUUCUUUUAUAUGGGAAUAAAGUUUUCCACGUGUGGAAUUUUGUAUGUACCAUAUGAAUAAGGAUCGGCUAACUCCGUGCCAGCAGCCGCGGUAAUACGGAGGAUCCGAGCGUUAUCCGGAUUUAUUGGGUUUAAAGGGAGCGUAGGUGGAUUGUUAAGUCAGUUGUGAAAGUUUGCGGCUCAACCGUAAAAUUGCAGUUGAAACUGGCAGUCUUGAGUACAGUAGAGGUGGGCGGAAUUCGUGGUGUAGCGGUGAAAUGCUUAGAUAUCACGAAGAACUCCGAUUGCGAAGGCAGCUCACUAGACUGUCACUGACACUGAUGCUCGAAAGUGUGGGUAUCAAACAGGAUUAGAUACCCUGGUAGUCCACACAGUAAACGAUGAAUACUCGCUGUUUGCGAUAUACAGUAAGCGGCCAAGCGAAAGCAUUAAGUAUUCCACCUGGGGAGUACGCCGGCAACGGUGAAACUCAAAGGAAUUGACGGGGGCCCGCACAAGCGGAGGAACAUGUGGUUUAAUUCGAUGAUACGCGAGGAACCUUACCCGGGCUUAAAUUGCAACAGAAUAUAUUGGAAACAGUAUAGCCGUAAGGCUGUUGUGAAGGUGCUGCAUGGUUGUCGUCAGCUCGUGCCGUGAGGUGUCGGCUUCAGUGCCAUAACGAGCGCAACCCUUAUCUUUAGUUACUAACAGGUCAUGCUGAGGACUCUAGAGAGACUGCCGUCGUAAGAUGUGAGGAAGGAGGGGAUGACGUCAAAUCAGCACGGCCCUUACGUCCGGGGCUACACACGUGUUACAAUGGGGGGUACAGAAGGCGGCUACCUGGUGACAGGAUGCUAAUCCCAAAAACCUCUCUCAGUUCGGAUCGAAGUCUGCAACCCGACUUCGUGAAGCUGGAUUCGCUAGUAAUCGCGCAUCAGCCAUGGCGCGGUGAAUACGUUCCCGGGCCUUGUACACACCGCCCGUCAAGCCAUGAAAGCCGGGGGUACCUGAAGUACGUAACCGCAAGGAGCGUCCUAGGGUAAAACUGGUAAUUGGGGCU